UCGCACGUAGCAACCCGGGCUCCUCUGAAAAUUAUCUCAGGAAGAAAGAAGUCCCAACGCUCGUGCGAGAACGACGCCGUUUAGUGUUGCAGAUUUGCCUUUGUACAUUCUUCACGGCUUAUCUGUGUCAAAACAACGGCAACAUUC